rnacentral:rRNA from 1 species
AGUAACGCGUGGGUAACCUGCCUCAUACAGGGGGAUAACAGUCAGAAAUGGCUGCUAAUACCGCAUAAGCGCACAGAGCUGCAUGGCUCGGUGUGAAAAACUCCGGUGGUAUAAGAUGGACCCGCGUUGGAUUAGCUGGUUGGUGGGGUAACGGCCCACCAAGGCGACGAUCCAUAGCCGGCCUGAGAGGGUGAACGGCCACAUUGGGACUGAGACAUGGCCCAG